rnacentral:tRNA from 1 species
GCGCCGGUGGUGUAAUGGCGUAGAGCAUUCCCGCCCGGUCAGAGGGAGAUGCGGGUUCGAAUCCCGCCUGGCGCU